CUCUCCCUCACAGCAGCAGCAUCCUAUCCCUACACUAGUAAGAGCAGAGUGACGUGUGGCGCUAUGUGACUCUAGCUUAUUUAGAGGCUGGGUCGCAUGCUGCACUGGCCAAUCACAGCCAUGCCAUUAGUAGGCAUGGCUGUGAUGGCCUCAUGGGGCAAGUAGUAUGACGCUUAGAAAUCGCCGAACACCGAACCCGAAC